rnacentral:rRNA from 1 species
UACGUAGGGUGCGAGCGUUGUCCGGAAUUAUUGGGCGUAAAGAGCUUGUAGGCGGUUUGUCGCGUCUGCCGUGAAAAUUCGAGGCUCAACCUCGAACUUGCGGUGGGUACGGGCAGACUAGAGUGUGGUAGGGGAGACUGGAAUUCCUGGUGUAGCGGUGAAAUGCGCAGAUAUCAGGAGGAACACCGAUGGCGAAGGCAGGUCUCUGGGCCACUACUGACGCUGAUGCACGAAAGCUGGGGGAGCAAACAGG